rnacentral:rRNA from 1 species
CAGUAGCCGCGGUAAUACGAAGGGGGCUAGCGUUGCUCGGAAUGACUGGGCGUAAAGGGCGCGUAGGCGGUUUGUACAGUUGGAUGUGAAAUUCCUGGGCUUAACCUGGGGGCUGCAUUCAAUACGUGCAGGCUUGAGUGGGGAAGAGGGUCGUGGAAUUCCCAGUGUAGAGGUGAAAUUCGUAGAUAUUGGGAAGAACACCGGUGGCGAAGGCGGCGACCUGGUCCUUGACUGACGCUGAGGCGCGAAAGCGUGGGGAGCAAACAGGAUUAGAUACCCCAGUAGUCCCUGUCUCUUAUAA